UACGUAGGGCGCAAGCGUUAUCCGGAAUUAUUGGGCGUAAAGAGCUCGUAGGCGGCUUGUCGCGUCGACUGUGAAAUCCCGAGGCUCAACUUCGGGCUUGCAGUCGAUACGGGCAGGCUAGAGUUCGGUAGGGGAGACUGGAAUUCCUGGUGUAGCGGUGAAAUUCGUAGAUAUCAGGAGGAACACCAGUGGCGAAGGCGGCUUUCUGGACGGUAACUGACGCUGAGACGCGAAAGCGUGGGGAGCAAACAGG
rnacentral:rRNA from 1 species